UUUUUAGCAUAAGUGUAGCCCAAAUAUUGAAUGGAACAUUGGGAUAUACUUAUGCUAAAA
rnacentral:miRNA from 1 species